AACAAACGCUGGCGGCGUGCCUAACACAUGCAAGUCGUACGAGAAAGGGUCCUUCGGGGCCUGAGUAAAGUGGCGCACGGGUGAGUAACGCGUGGAUAAUCUGCCCUUCAGUUGGGAAUAACUCAUCGAAAGGUGGGCUAAUACCGAAUAAUGCUGUGAGACCUCGGUUGAUCAGCCAAAGAGAGCCUCUGCUUGCAAGCCCUCGCUGAAGGAUGAGUCCGCGUACCAUUAGCUAGUUGGUAGGGUAAUGGCCUACCAAGGCGACGAUGGUUAGCUGGUCUGAGAGGAUGAUCAGCCACACGGGAACUGAGACACGGUCCAGACUCCGACGGGAGGCAGCAGUGAGGAAUCUUGCGCAAUGGGGGCAACCCUGACGAAGCAACGCCGCGUGAGUGAGGAAGGUCUUCGGAUCGUAAAGCUCUGUCGGAUGGAAAGAACCGCAUAGGGGUAAACAGCCCCUGUGUCUGACGGUACCAUCAAAGGAAGCACCGGCUAACUCCGUGCCAGCAGCCGCCGUAAUAC
rnacentral:rRNA from 1 species